UCUUCUUCCUCUUUCCCUUUUGCUCUUAUUUUAAUUUUUUGAUUUCUUUUUCAACUCUCUUGAUAUAUUUGGGGUCUUUUGAAGAUGGUCACUGUAUUUUUAUACACAGUAAAAUUCGAGCCCUAAUUCAUUCUUAUGAUGUUAUCUUUCUAACGAUUCUUCUUCCUCUUAUCUCUCGAAUGGGUUAUCUUUUGGUGAUUUCUCUCUUUAAUUUCAUUCUACUGUCUUUUUUGUUGCAAUUUUUUGGGUUUUGGAACUUAGAAUAUGAUUGGUUUGAACCCAAAUGGGUCUAACUACAAGAAUCGUCUUUCCUCUUCACUCCCAAGACUCUUGCUAGGAUUGUGGAUGUAUGUUUUCCUCCUUUUCUUUUUUAUUUCCUCUGUUUUUCUCAUUUUAUGCUCUGCAUUUCUUUGGUUGAUUUGGGAAUAAAUGCUAAUUUUAGAUUAUUAUUAUUUUUGCAUGUUUUGGAUAAUAGCAGAUUAGCUCUCAAUUUAUUGUUCUUUUCGUAAAUUUGUAAAAUGGUAAAUAUAACUUCAGAAAUUUUCCAUAUGUGUGUCUGCAUAAGCCACUACGUAUCAAGUUAUUUCCUUGCAGUGCCUCAAAACCUUGGGCGUGCUCUCUGCUUCUCUUCUAUGUUCAUCUUGGAAUCCUCACUGACAUCUCUUGCUCAUGGAUGGCAAGUGAUAACGGAAGAGCUUUUUUUAAGCAUUGGCAAUUUGAAUACAUCAACCUAAAAGAAGAAGAAACAGAGAAGAAAAAAUAUUGACAAUAUGGAGUUGGACAUGUGGGAACAUGUAAAUAGUUUCAGGCAUACAGAAUGUAUAACUCCAAUAUGAGAAAGGGAUAUCCAUUGAUCCAUUCUAGGGAGGGAAGGAGGGAAUAGUGAAGACGUUCUGAUUUGUUGGAGACAAAAAGAAGGAUCAAAAUGCAUGAAGUUAAUGAAUCGUGCAAUACAAUAGAGACUUUUACAGAUCACAAGAAAGGGCACAAACAAGUACCUACAGAGCAGCCUGAAAGAUGAUUCUUUCAUCAGAUGUUGCAGGGGUAAUGUAAGGGAUCAUAUGUUGAACACCUGAAGUGGACAUUUUGUGCAUCAAAGACGGAGGUAAUGCUUUAUCUCAUUUAUUUUCAUUAUUCUUCCCCCCUGUUGAAAUGAAGAGGGUUAUAUGUGUCUCUUUUACGUUGAAUAAUAAGAAGAGUAUCUAUUGACUUUAGGCUUCAGGUUGGUUUAGGACUGCUGGUUAGAGAUGUAGAUAAAAGGUGUGAAUAUGUUAUUGAGCUUGCAUAUAAACUAAUAUCAACAUAAGUGACAAAAUUACUGUUCGAAAUAUGUUGUUGAAUAUACGUUGGUCCUCUAUAUAUUGACAUAUUAAAUUAGUACGAACUAUGUUGAGAAAGAGAAGUUUUAUGACAAAGAGAAGUUGUAGAAAGGACUAACUAUGUUUUUCGAAUUACACAAAAAAAAAAAUAGCAAAUUUCUUAUAUGGAAUUUGCAACUUUUAGUUUGGGAAUAACCAUUCAAGGAGUUUUUUUUUCUCUUACACUUGGUUCUUUUAUAUGUGACUUUCUCUAAUUUCCAUUUAUGCACUUUUUUCUAUUGCAUGCAAUUUCCUUUUGCCAACAGAGAUUUACUUAUCGAGUUUUACCAUGCAAGUGCUCAUUGAUAUUCUGAAUGGUCAUAAGUUUCGGUUUUCAAGUUUCAAAUUCAACUGUCUUAUUUUGUGUUUAUCAAGUUACUUUUCACUUGCCUUUUUACUUCUAUCUUUGAUCUAAGUAUAUGUCGACAGAAGAUGGAAAGAAGGAUGGAUAGGUAGAUGGAAGUCAUUGCAAAUAAUUUGUAAUGACUAUGAACUCAAGUAAUUACACUUCAUUAUUCUGACUUGCCAAACUUAUAGAAGUUAUAGAGUUUCAUUCUUGGAGAAGACGUGUUCACUGAGUCGUCAGUUUACGCACAAGAAGUAUGGAGAGAGUACAAGGCCAGAAAAUACCUUGCAGAUUGUUCUAUUAUGGCGGAAAAGUUAUGGUUUGUGGCCUUACCUUUGAGAAUUGAAUCUGGAUUUAAUGUCUUUAUUAUAAUUAUUAAAGUGGUCAUGUUGCAUCCAAUUCAUAUUAAUAAAGAAGAAAAUCUCUGUGAAUUACUUUGUGAAUUGUUUAUAUAGGUCAGUUUAUUCA